UUUCUCUCCUCCUCUCAGUGACACGUACUGAGACUGAAAUUAGCCGACAGAGCAGCCUGCGUUUGUCCGAGCCGUCUGCCAGAUCGUAGACGCGGACCACUGCCGUCCUCCAGAACAGAGGACGUGGACCUUCCCCCCCCGACUGCUCCGAUUGGCUGGCCCGCUCCCCAGAAGGACCCGGGGUUGACCCUGGCCAUCACAGCCGCGCGCUGACCGGUUAAAUCUUUAAUUUGUUUGGAAGUAUUUUUAGCCACAGCUUAAUGCUGUGGAUUGUGGCAGUGCUCUCUCCUCCUCCGGCCCUGCUCUCUCUCCUCCAGGUGUGCGCUGCACAGAGGCCGGUGACAGGUGUGGCGUAUUGGCAAUCAGCUGAUUGUGCGCAGGUGGAAGCCAGAGGAUUACCGACUCCAUUCGUCGGUUGAUGCCGGACUGUCCUCGACCUUACAGUUAGUGCUGCAAGCCGAACUGUCUGUGCCACUUACCUGGUUCUGCAAGUAAUCCUGUUUUCCCUGUGUUUAGAAGCUGACUUUCACCUGCUUGUGGUCACCUGGCUCUGCUGGUUCCAUCAUCGUCUGCCUGGCCUCCGUUCUCUAGUGGAUUCCAUUCAGCCGUGGAGACUCCCCUGCCACCAGCCUUCCCCUCCUGGAGAACACCUACCGAGCCCUGGAACACUCCGUGCCUCCCUAAGACGUAUAACCACCUGCCCAAGCCUCCGGACGCCAUUCUCCAUCCUGGCCGUUCGAACCGGGGACUUCGUCUAAGGAUUGGAUGGAGUCUGCACCCCUCCCUAGUAGAACUACUUCCUGUUUAGUCAGCUAAGUUCUUAGCCCUAACGACACCAGACUGUUUUGUCUUGCUAUGUAUUUCGUAUUAGUGGGUUUUCAUAGUUACUCGUAGUUGUAGUCUGGGCUUUUAGUGGAGGUUAUUGCAGACUAGGUUCUUGGUUUUUUUUGGAUAGUUUAUUUCAGUUGUAUUCCUGCCCUGGUGUUACCAGUAUUGGGUUUACUUAGUUUCUGUUUUUUAGGAUUUGUAAUUGCCCUCCGAGCCACUAGAGGCUGUCUUGAUCUGUUUGUUCCCAUAGAGUAGGUUACACUUCUGGUUCCGGAAUUCAGUUCCUAGUUGGGAUUUGUAGUCCUUGAGUUUUUUGUGUGUAAAAGCUUUUUGUAAAUCGUGCAACUGCUUUCAUUGUUACUUUCAUUUCCUGCAUCUGAGCCUCUACACCUGCCGUAACAUUUUAUUCUUUUGUAUUAUUUUCGACAUUGUAGAUUCAUACUGAAGAUUAACAUUUUUUGUUUACAACAUAAUUCCAUAUAUAUUUGUAUGUGUACUUUUAUAGUUUUGAUGUAUUCAGUAUUAAUUUACAAUGUAUAAAAUAAUUAAAGAAAAACCAUUGAAUGAGAAGGUGUGUCCAAACUUUAUUCAAUCAACUCCUAACAUUAUCAUUGCUUUAAAGUCCCAUUUUUAGUUAAUCCAUGAUUUUAGUUCAAUAUUUGGUCUUUUUUUUUUUUUUUUUUAAUCUCUGCUUUGGUCUCCACCAACAUUCAAGAGAAAUAACUAAAUUUAGCUGCUAAAUGCAAUGUUAGCAAACCUGUUCCCCAAGUUUUAACUGUGAACCCAAACAAUAGUGAGCUAAAAAUCAAAACAAAGGGCUCAAAGAUGCUAAAAUACCCUGUAAAACUGAACGCAGCAAAGUCAGGGAAUGAUUGUGUAGAGACAUUACUACCAGCUAAGGUAUUCAUACUAUAUAAUGUAUUGUUAUGAAAUCAUAUUAAAACAAUGAUUAGAGCAGCUGUAACGAC
ensembl:lncRNA